rnacentral:rRNA from 3 species
GUUGAUUUCACACUGCCGAGAAAAGCCUCUAGAUAGAAAAUAGGUGCCCGUACCGCAAACCGACACAGGUAGUCAAGAUGAGAAUUCUAAGGUGAGCGAGCGAACUCUCGUUAAGGAACUCGGCAAAAUGACCCCGUAACUUCGGGAGAAGGGGUGCUCUUUAGGGUUAACGCCCAGAAGAGCCGCAGUGAAUAGGCCCAAGCGACUGUUUAUCAAAAACACAGGUCUCUGCUAAACCGUAAGGUGAUGUAUAGGGGCUGACGCCUGCCCGGUGCUGGAAGGUUAAGAGGAGUGGUUAGCUUCUGCGAAGCUACGAAUCGAAGCCCCAGUAAACGGCGGCCGUAACUAUAACGGUCCUAAGGUAGCGAAAUUCCUUGUCGGGUAAGUUCCGACCCGCACGAAAGGCGUAACGAUUUGGGCACUGUCUCAACGAGAGACUCGGUGAAAUCAUAGUACCUGUGAAGAUGCAGGUUACCCGCGACAGGACGGAAAGACCCCGUGGAGCUUUACUGUAGCCUGAUAUUGAAAUUCGGCACAGCUUGUACAGGAUAGGUAGGAGCCUUUGAAACGUGAGCGCUAGCUUACGUGGAGGCGCUGGUGGGAUACUACCCUAGCUGUGUUGGCUUUCUAACCCGCACCACUUAUCGUGGUGGGAGACAGUGUCAGGCGGGCAGUUUGACUGGGGCGGUCGCCUCCUAAAAGGUAACGGAGGCGCUCAAAGGUUCCCUCAGAAUGGUUGGAAAUCAUUCAUAGAGUGUAAAGGCAUAAGGGAGCUUGACUGCGAGACCUACAAGUCGAGCAGGGUCGAAAGACGGACUUAGUGAUCCGGUGGUUCCGCAUGGAAGGGCCAUCGCUCAACGGAUAAAAGCUACCCCGGGGAUAACAGGCUUAUCUCCCCCAAGAGUUCACAUCGACGGGGAGGUUUGGCACCUCGAUGUCGGCUCAUCGCAUCCUGGGGCUGUAGUCGGUCCCAAGGGUUGGGCUGUUCGCCCAUUAAAGCGGUACGCGAGCUGGGUUCAGAACGUCGUGAGACAGUUCGGUCCCUAUCCGUCGUGGGCGUAGGAAAUUUGAGAGGAGCUGUCCUUAGUACGAGAGGACCGGGAUGGACAUACCUCUGGUGUACCAGUUGUCGUGCCAACGGCAUAGCUGGGUAGCUAUGUGUGGACGGGAUAAGUGCUGAAAGCAUCUAAGCAUGAAGCCCCCCUCAAGAUGAGAUUUCCCAACUUCGGUUAUAAGAUCCCUCAAAGAUGAUGAGGUUAAUAGGUUCGAGGUGGAAGCAUGGUGACAUGUGGAGCUGACGAAUACUAAUCGAUCGAAGACUUAAUCAA